UACGGAGGGUGCGAGCGUUGCUCGGAAUUAUUGGGCGUAAAGCGUACGCAGGCGGCUCGGCAAGUCGAGUGUGAAAUCCCGGGGCUCAACUCCGGAACUGCAUUCGAUACUGCCGGGCUUGAGUGCGGGAGAGGGAAGCGGAAUUCCUGGUGUAGAGGUGAAAUUCGUAGAUAUCAGGAGGAACACCGGUGGCGAAAGCGGCUUCCUGGCCCGACACUGACGCUCAUGUACGAAAGCGUGGGGAGCAAACAGG
rnacentral:rRNA from 1 species